rnacentral:rRNA from 1 species
UACAGAGGUGGCAAGCGUUGUUCGGAAUUACUGGGCGUAAAGGGCGCGUAGGCGGUUCGUUAAGUCCUGUGUGAAAUCCCCCGGCUCAACUGGGGAACUGCACAGGAAACUAGCGGGCUUGAGUUCGGGAGAGGGAAGCGGAAUUCCGGGUGUAGCGGUGAAAUGCGCAGAUAUCCGGAGGAACACCGGUGGCGAAGGCGGCUUCCUGGACCGACACUGACGCUGAGGCGCGAAAGCUAGGGGAGCAAACGGG